AGCUCCAAUAGCGUAUAUUAAAGUUGUUGCAGUUAAAAAGCUCGUAGUUGAAUUACUAUCACAAGCGGGCUUGCUUGUUUUCGAGCAGUGUCGAGUCAGCGGUGAUAUCUUUCAGGUUGUUCGGACCUCUUGAAUGGGGAGCGUAAUAUCCUGGACUGUUACUUUGAGAAAAUUAGAGUGUUUCAAGCAGGCAUUUGCCUUGAAUACUACAGCAUGGAAUAAUAAGAUAAGACUUCAGUCCUUUCUUGUUGGUUCGGAGGACUAAAGUAAUGAUUAACAGGGACAGUCGGGGGCAUUCGUAUUUAACUGUCAGAGGUGAAAUUCUUAGAUUUGUUAAAGACGAACUACUGCGAAAGCAUUUGCCAAGGAUGUUCCCA
rnacentral:rRNA from 1 species